rnacentral:lncRNA from 1 species
GGACUCUCGGGGCUGAGAUGAAUGAACCCAGGCAUCACCGAUGCUUCCGUGGCCACAAUUGGGUGUAGUCUUAGGAGACUGUUCCAAGGUGGGAAAAAACAAGAAAGCAAGACCCUGCGCGUCAUGAGUGGGAACCUGUGGCUCUAAACAUGUUCUCAGUGGAGUGGAAAGCAAAAGGGAGGCUUCCUGGUCCGGCAGCCAGGCAAGGCUGUGGCCCGUUCAGACUGGCUGAAGCAUAUGGAGGUUCCAUGGUAGGGGUCGAACUGGAACUGAAGCUGCCAGCCUAUACCACAGCCCCAGCAACACAGGAUCCGAGCUGCAUCUUCAACCUUCACCACAACUCAGGGCAACACCAGCUCCUUAACCAACUGAGGGAGGCCGGGGAUGGAAGCUGCGUCCUCCUGGAUGCUGGUUAGAUUCGUCAUCCGCUGAGCCCCAGCGGGAACUCCUUCCCUGAUGUCCUUGUUUCUGCAGUUCAGCACCCGCUUUUCUCAUCACCCUUCUUCACGACCUCUGAGUCCUUUCUGCUCCCUCACUGCUCCUUCCUCCCCGGGCACAACUCCUGCCUCAUCGCAGACCCGAAAGCUGUCUCCAGGCACUGGGUAAAAUCGCAGGCUGUAGGAAAAGCCGGUUUUAACAAAGGAACCCAGAUCAGGCUUCUGUGAGAGCCUGGACCGUCCAUCUCCCCGCAAAAAGAGAGUGACGUCAAUGAAGACAAAAUAGUAUCUGAGGAAAGAAAGAGCCGGUCAUCUUACAGGUUUGUUUAAAGCCACGAAUUUACGCGUCCAAGAAGCUUCGCAAAUGAAAACCAGCACAGGCUUUAUGAAGUCCGCUCACCCAUCACAGUCAUAAUGAAACCAGUGGAAACGAUGAGAAGCAUCCAGAGACAAUGACAUGUUCCGUCCAGAAGAGAAGCGGUUCGGAUGAUUCGAGCUUCCACCUCGGAAACCAGUGCUGUCAGCAGAGGGGGCAUUCUGGAGAGAAGGAACGGGCCGGCCUGGGAGUCUCCUGGCGACAUUCUUGGGGCGUGAAGGUGAAACGGGCAUCGUCAGAGGGAGGAGUGUGGAGAGACUUGGUGCCCAUGAACCUGCUCAAAGGGAAAUGGUGAGGGGGAGUCUUCGGGCGGAAAGGAAGCCAUUCUUGGGGGCACUUGCAGCGUCACCAGUGAAGGGAGACCCCCAGGUGGGCAGUAGAAGGUGCAGGUAAUUGCCUGUGGUCUCCCCUCAGGUCUUUGAAACGCACGGGGCUGUUGAAAGCAAACAUCGCGUGUGGUGGGGAGUUUGGUGCAUGCAGACGAAGACGCAGAGCAGCUGCAGCGAGAGGGCGGGGGGUGCAGGGGUCUUAGGAUGGUGCGGGUUCUGUGUUUCUCUGAGGCGCUGACAACAUUCGGUCUGACGUUGGGCGUGCGUAUUAUACCUCCUGGUGCAGCCACUUGCACAGCACAGCAAGAGCUACAACUGGAACACCAGUGGAUACAGUGGAUACUAAGAAAUAUUCCCAAAGCCAGAAGGAGGCAGGAGAGGGACACUCGAAGAGCAAACAAGAGCAGGGACAAGGAGCAGAACGAAGGAUGAGUCUUGAUACAGCCUCGAUGGUCAUUCCAUGACCUGUGAGCGGUGACAGCACCACUAACUGGUGAACAUUGUCAGACUGGGCCAAGAAUUAAAGGGCCCCAUUUGGGAAUUUGGAAAUUAAAGGGCACCCUUCUGCCUAAUGCACGAGGCAAAGAA